CAGCAGCCACGGUAAUACGAAGGGUGCAAGCGUUACUCGGAAUUACUGGGCGUAAAGCGUGCGUAGGUGGUGGUUUAAGUCCGUUGUGAAAGCCCUGGGCUCAACCUGGGAAUUGCAGUGGAUACUGGGUCACUCGAGUGUGGUAGAGGAUAGUGGAAUUUCCGGUGUAGCAGUGAAAUGCGUAGAGAUCGGAAGGAACAUCUGUGGCGAAGGCGACUAUCUGGGCCAACACUGACACUGAGGCACGAAAGCGUGGGGAGCAAACAGGAUUAGAUACCCGUGUAGUCCCUGUCUCUUAUAC
rnacentral:rRNA from 1 species